rnacentral:rRNA from 1 species
UACGGGGGGGGCAAGCGUUGUUCGGAAUUACUGGGCGUAAAGGGCUCGUAGGUGGCCAACUAAGUCGGACGUGAAAUCCCUCAGCUUAACUGGGGAACUGCGUCCGAUACUGGAUGGCUUGAGUUUGGGAGAGGGAUGCGGAAUUCCAGGUGUAGCGGUGAAAGUGCGUAGAUAUCUGGAGGAACACCGGUGGCGAAGGCGGAUCUCUGGGCCAUAACGUGACGCUGAGGAGCGAAAGCAUGGGGAGCGAACGAGG